rnacentral:rRNA from 1 species
UGCUCUGUGGGAUCAGUGGCGAACGGGUGAGUAACACGUGAGCAACCUGCCCCUGACUCUGGGAUAAGCGCUGGAAACGGCGUCUAAUACUGGAUAUGUGACGUGACCAAAUGGUCUGCGUCUGGAAAGAUUUUUCGGUUGGGGAUGGGCUCGCGGCCUAUCAGCUUGUUGGUGAGGUAAUGGCUCACCAAGGCGUCGACGGGUAGCCGGCCUGAGAGGGUGACCGGCCACACUGGGACUGAGACACGGCCCAGACUCCUACGGGAGGCAGCAGUGGGGAAUAUUGCACAAUGGGCGCAAGCCUGAUGCAGCAACGCCGCGUGAGGGAUGACGGCCUUCGGGUUGUAAACCUCUUUUAGCAGGGAAGAAGCGAAAGUGACGGUACCUGCAGAAAAAGCGCCGGCUAACUACGUGCCAGCAGCCGCGGUAAUACGUAGGGCGCAAGCGUUAUCCGGAAUUAUUGGGCGUAAAGAGCUCGUAGGCGGUUUGUCGCGUCUGCUGUGAAAUCCGGAGGCUCAACCUCCGGCCUGCAGUGGGUACGGGCAGACUAGAGUGCGGUAGGGGAGAUUGGAAUUCCUGGUGUAGCGGUGGAAUGCGCAGAUAUCAGGAGGAACACCGAUGGCGAAGGCAGAUCUCUGGGCCGUAACUGACGCUGAGGAGCGAAAGGGUGGGGAGCAAACAGGCUUAGAUACCCUGGUAGUCCACCCCGUAAACGUUGGGAACUAGUUGUGGGGUCCAUUCCACGGAUUCCGUGACGCAGCUAACGCAUUAAGUUCCCCGCCUGGGGAGUACGGCCGCAAGGCUAAAACUCAAAGGAAUUGACGGGGACCCGCACAAGCGGCGGAGCAUGCGGAUUAAUUCGAUGCAACGCGAAGAACCUUACCAAGGCUUGACAUAUACGAAGAACGGGCCAGAAAUGGUCAACUCUUUUGGACACUCGUAAACAGGUGGGUGCAUGGGUUGUCGUCAGCUCCGUGUCGUGGAGAUGUUGGGGUUAAGUCCCCGCAA